rnacentral:rRNA from 1 species
GGAUGAGCCCGCGGCCUAUCAGCUUGUUGGCGGGGUAACGGCCCACCAAGGCAACGACGGGUAGCCAGCCUGAGAGGGUGACCGGCCACACUGGGACUGAGACAUGGCCCAGACUCCUACGGGAGGCAGCAGUGGGGAAUACUGCACAAUGGGCGGAAGCCUGAUGCAGCGACGCCGCGUGGGGGAUGAAGGCCUUCGGGUUGUAAACCUCUUUCAGCAGGGACGAAGCGUGAGUGACGGUACCUGCAGAAGAAGCACCGGCUAACUACGUGCCAGCAGCCGCGG